rnacentral:tRNA from 1 species
UCCUUGGUGGCUCAAUAGAUAAAGAAUCCGCCUGCAAUGCGGGAGACCUGGGUUCAAUUCCUGGAUUGGGAA